AGACCACAGGUACGAAAAUUUUGAGGACGAAAUUUUUUUUAGGGGAGAAGAAUGUAAUAUCUCAGCCCAAUUUGAAAUCCAGCCCAACUAAAAUAAAAGCCCAAAAGCUAAAGCACAACUCUUAAAGCACAAAAAAAAAAGAAAAUAGGGUAUUUAACGAGAGUCUUCUUCCUAUCCCAAUAAGGAGAUCAAAUCUGAACCAAAUCUCCAACUCUCCUUUAUAAAACGAAAACCCCCUCCCUUCCUCGGCCUUCCAUCGUCGGAAAAUCCCUCUUCCACUCCCUCUUUCUUCUGAUUUUUUUCCGUUUCCUUGCUCUCAAAUUGAAGGCAUUGCGUUGGUGAAAUUGUGGUCCAAAACACCACCAAGAGUAAGGCUUAUUGAAGGAUUUUCAGGAUUAAUUAGAUUCUAUAAUUGGAUUAGCUUUUGAGAUCAUUACAGCCAACAUAAACAGCUACAUGCAAAUGGAGGUGCUGGUAGUGCAUUUGCAACUUCUUAUGAAACAAAACCGUUGUACAGAAAAGAGUUACCUGAAAAGUAAGAAGUCUAAUACGAAGUGAUUUCUCUGUGCAUCGACCAAACAAUCUAAGGAAUAAGUUUAAAUCUACAAGGGUCAUAUCCUUCAUCCCAGUCAAAAGCCACGUUUGAGGAUCAAACACGAAGAAUCAAUGCUUUUUUAACGUCACUGAGAGCAUCUCACAGAAUGCUUGCUUCUGGAGAUUGAAUUUAAAUGAAAACCUACCUCGGCAGACGAUGCCUUGGACAGGGAUAGAUCUUAAAAACCUGGAGAGAAAGGAGAGUAAAGAAAGAAUGACAGGCCUGAGUUGUGAGAGUAGAUAAAUUUCAAUAAGAAAAGAAUAUUUAGGUUUAUAGAAACCUGAGGACAUGAUUACAGGAAAUUCAGAACUGGAGGCAAGAAGAAAAGCAGGAGUGUCUCACUGCAAGUGGACAUAUAAUGCUGGUUAGCAUAUAACAGACUACACAUCACCAGACUAUAAACACACGGCCACAACAUACACAUGAUAAACAAAAAAGAAUUGUACAAACACGCAAGUAAAUUCACUCAGUCUGAUAAAUAGAAGUUGCAAAUCACUUCCAUAAAACUCUGGAAGGCUCUU